CCUACGGGCGGCAGCAGUGGGGGAUAUUGCACAAUGGGGGAAACCCUGAUGCAGCGACGCCGCGUGUGGGAAGACGGUCCUCUGGAUUGUAAACCACUGUCCCCAGGGACGAAGAUGACGGUACCUGGGGAGGAAGCUCCGGCUAACUACGUGCCAGCAGCCGCGGUAAUACGUAGGGAGCGAGCGUUGUUCGGAAUUACUGGGGGAAAAGGGAGCGUAGGCGGGACUGCAAGUUGGGUGUCAAAUCUACCGGCUCAACCGGUAGCCGCACUCAAAACUGCAGUUCUUGAGUGAAGUAGAGGCAGGCGGAAUUCCUAGUGUAGCGGUGAAAUGCGUAGAUAUUAGGAGGAACACCAGUGGCGAAGGCGGCCUGCUGGGCUUUUACUGACGCUGAGGCUCGAAAGUGUGGGGAGCAAACAGGAUUAGAUACCCCAGUAGUC
rnacentral:rRNA from 1 species